UAGAAGUUUUAUUCUUGCUUAAUUACUUAUUUUAAUUUAAUGUUAUAUGCAAGAUUUUAUGUUUUAAUAAUUUCUUAAUGAAUUAAUUAAAUUAUUUGGUGCAGUAAUGAAUAUUAAAUAAUAAAGGGAAUUUUGAUUUAGUUAUUUUUGAUAGUGUUGAUUAAAUAUGUGCCAGCAGUCGCGGUUAUACAUAGGACAUAAAUAAGUAUUUUUAGUUAUAUAGUUUAUUUAUUUAUUUUAUUUUAUUUGAUAAUUUUUGGGUAAAAUUUAAAUUUUUGUUUUUGUUUUAAGUUUAUAUUAAAUGAGGCUGUGAAAUCUAAAUUAUUUAAACUAGGAUUAGAUACCCUAUUAUUUUGGAUUUAAAAUUUUAAACUUGAGUAGUAUUAGGUAUGGUCUUGAAACUUAAAGAAUUUGGCGGUAUUUUAGUCUAGUUAGAGGAAUCUGUUCCGUUAUCGAUAAUCCACGUUGAACCUUACUUAAUAUAAUUUAAUAUGUAUACCGCCGUUUAUUUGAAGAUCUUUUUAGGGUUAAUUUUCUUUAAAUUUUAAUUAAUUUUAAUUCAGGUCAAGGUGCAGUUGAUGAUUGAGUGGUGAUGGAUUACAAUAUUUAAAAAGUAAACGAAUUAAUAAAUGAAAAUAUUUUAUGAAGGUGGAUUUAAUAGUAAUUAAUAAUAAGAAUUAUUUUUAUGAUUUUAGCUCUAAAAUGUGUACACAUCGCCCGUCACUCUCGUUAUUAAGAUGAGAUAAGUCGUAACAAAGUAGGUGUACCGGAAGGUGUAGCUAGAUUGAU
rnacentral:ncRNA from 1 species